rnacentral:tRNA from 1 species
ACCUGGCUGGCUCAGUUGGUAGAGCUUGUGACUCCAGAUCUUGGGGUCAUGAGUUCAAGCCCCAUGUUGGGUG